UCGCUGUAGCAAUACGAUAGAAAAUUUAGUGGCGAACGGGUGCUUAACACGUGGGCAACCUGCCUGGAAGUGGGGGAUAGCUCGCCGAAAGGCGAAUUAAUACCGCAUGUGAUUAGAGGGGACAUCCUUUCGAAAUUAAAGGCGGGGCAACCUGACGCUUCUUGUGGGGCCCGCGGCCUAUCAGCUAGUUGGUGAGGUAACGGCUCACCAAGGCGUUGACGGGUAGCUGGUCUGAGAGGACGACCAGCCACACUGGGACUGAGACACGGCCCAGACACCUACGGGUGGCAGCAGUCGAGAAUUUUUGACAAUGGGGGAAACCCUGAAGGAGCGACGCCGCGUGGAGGAUGAAGGUCUUCGGAUUGUAAACUCCUGUCAUUGGGGAACAAUGCUCAAAUAUUAACUGUAUUUGUGUUGAUAGUACCCGAAGAGGAAGAGACGGCUAACUCUGUGCCAGCAGCCGCGGUAAUACAGAGGUCUCAAGCGUUGUUCGGAUUCAUUGGGCGUAAAGGGUGCGUAGGCGGCGCGGUAAGUCGGGUGUGAAAUCUCGGAGCUUAACUUCGAAACUGCAUUCGAUACUGCCGUGCUUGAGGACUGGAGAGGAGACUGGAAUUCUCGGUGUAGCA
rnacentral:rRNA from 1 species